UCAAUUCGUUUCUUACAAUCUCUGCACUUUCCCUUUUUCCCCAUCAUCGUCGGCCACACAAUGAGGUAAUCCUAACUCAUCUCUCUAUCUCCAUAUCAAUUUUUAUGUCUAUAUUUUUUUCUGCCACCAUGACGAUAUAUAUAUACUUCUUGAAAAUCUAUCAAUCUUAUCUAAAUAUUCUUAAAUAAUUCAUUUAAUGAUUUGAUUUUCUAUAUAUCUUUUUUUUGUUCUUUUUCUUUUUAAUUACUUUUGUUGUUGAAUAUUUGAUGCUUAGAAUGACAGCUUGUGACGUUGGAUCAAUUAUGUGGUGUGUGUUCUAGGGUUUAGAUGCAUUUAUUUUGGUAUAUAUUGUUGUAGUUGUUUUAUUACAGAUUGAUGUUGUUUAAGCUAGUAUUCGUGCAGCUAUUUUAAUUUUUACUGUUUCAGAGAGUAAGCUAAUAGUAAAUCAAAUCUUCUCUCUUUCCUCUUAAGUUGCUUUUGGUGUUAUUACAGAAUUCACAGACUAGUACACCUUUUAUAAACAGAUGAUGCCCCUAUAAGGCUGUUAAAAUUGCUGUAGAUGCUGUGAGUUUUAUUGUGUAAGAAUUUUGGUAAUAUUAGAAUAUAUAUAUAUAUAUAUAUAUAUAUAUAUAUUAAAAUUCUUUAUCACAUCUGGUUUUACUCGUGAUCAAUAGUUUUAUAUUUGAUUAGCUCCUCCUUGGGUGCACAUGCCUUGUGUAUUAUACAACAAUAACUCAGUAUAAUCUCACUUGUGUAUUUUACACAUGCCUUGUGUAUUAUACUAGUAACUAUUAUUGAAGAAUUAUUGUAACGUUAGAGUGUAUGAAAAAUUCUUGAUCAGAUCUUCUUUUAUCAUUUAACAUCAAUAAUAUAAGAUUUACUUGUCUCCUCAUUAGUUAGAAGAAAACAUAUUAGCUUAUCCAUUUUUUAGAGGCCUUUUCGAGUACUACAAUAGUGAUAUUGUAAAAAAAAAAUGAACUCUUAAUAAAUUAGUUCUUUUCUGAAACACUUAAUAAAUUAGUUAAAUUGUUAAGGAUCUUUAUCGACUAUAGCUAUGAUAUUGUAAAAGUGUUGCUCUGUUUUAUCCCUUCCGAUGGACGCUAGCAUUCUUGACACUGAUAAGUGGUAAUGCAGUCAUGGGAUGGCUUAGUUAUUCAAUUUUGGCUUUUAAAUGAGUUGCGAAAAAGAAUAAGACAAGUUAUCAUCUUUUUGAGAUUCUGUCACUUUUUCGAAAGAAAUGGAGAUGUCUUGCCUUAUGGUAGUUGAAUAGGUUAACGUUUAUGCUAUAGUAUCAAUUUCAUGAAACAUGGAAGCAGCCUCUCUGCCCUUUUGGGUAGGGGUAAGACUGCCUACAUAUUACCCUCCCCAGACCCCACCUGGUGGGAGUAUACUGGGUAGUUGUUGUUAUCAAUUUCAUGAAAGAUAGAUUCAGGUUUGCGAUGGUGAUCAUUUAUCCUAUGUCUAGUAGAAGUUUUAUGAGAUCUUUGUUGCUUUGGACAAGUUCUUCUAACUGAUGUCCUCCAUUUUUGCACCAGAAGCAGCAUGAUGCGAUAGCUUACACAGAACUGAGUUGCAAUAGUUUGUCAUGUUCCUGGUAAAGUUCUUAGCUUUGAAUUCUUUAAUCUAUCAAAGUACUGUUAUUAUAAUAAUUCUACCCAGUUACAAUCUAUAAGAUUAGAAAUUAAUU
rnacentral:lncRNA from 1 species